rnacentral:miRNA from 1 species
UGCCUGGCUCCCUGUAUGCCAUC